GUCUUGAGUUCAACCUGUGAGGGCAAGACUAAGUCUAGAUUGAUAUUUUGAAAAUGGGCCCUUCUACUGUGCCGCGUUGCCCUCACCAUGUCAACCUAGCCAUCCUCUCAAGGCUCCUUCUGUUGGGGAGGGGAAAAAACUUUUUUUUUCCAGGUUAGCUGUCUGUAAGGGGCUGCUUAAUUGUACACGAAGACAUCAAUCGGGGUCUUUAAGGAAACAGCUGAAUGGUGCUUCUAUGCCAGACGUCAUGUCUAUCCAUGGUCUUUACUGACAUGUCAGCCAGACACAGAAUGUGUUCUUCCUGAUAAUGAGUGGUGGUGUGAGCUAGAGGGACUUGCUGUGUAUUUAAAAAUUGUGGCCUUCGAAUGUGUGUAAUGAAAGUGUAAAGUUAGCUAUAUAACUUUGUGAUGUACACCCAUGAGUCAUAACUGUUUAACAUUUGGUCCUCCACUAUGCUUGUUAAACCUGGUACUAUACUAGCUACUAUAGACUAAUUGGGCACAUGCAGUAUGGUAAUUAAUCACUGGUCAAAAACUAAUUACAUGCAUCUUUGCUGAUGAACAUUGUUUAUUCAGUGUGACAUGCUGUCAGUGUAUAAGAUGAAGCAUUUUUAAAAGUAUUUAUGUAAAAUCCCACCCCCUCCUAAAAAAAUGAAUAUUUUUUUCAAUAACACUUAAUAAAAAAAAAUACUUUCCUUUAAUGGCCAAACAGAUUAAACAUGUAAACAAGAACAGUAUUUAAAACCUUCUGUACAAUAAUGAUUCAUUGCAUGUUAAUGCUAAUUUGUAUUGUAUGCACUGCUACCUUUGAGAAUAAAUGUAAUGUACUAUGUAACCCUGAA